AAUUCCAUCCUAUAACGAAGGCGAUGAAUUCUCCUACUGUGACGUAACUGUAGACGUAUGCCGAACCUGCCUUUGGAACUCUGGAAGCGAAUUCUGCGUAGCACAUCCCUGAAAUUUAAACAGUCAGAUUAAGUCUGGAUGAUUAAUUUACCCGCAAACGCGGAAGCGAUGGCAGCGAUAAGGAAAGAGAUACAGACAGCUGGGCCAGCCGUCGAUUGGGCUAUGCUACCAGCGAGGACGUAGACUCCAAUACCGAGUGUAGAGCCCACGCCUAGGGCCGUCAGAUCAAAAAGGCCUAGAACCCGAGCCAAUUCACCCUUGCUGUCCUGGCUGUCGUCGACGCGUCUUCGGGACAGCGCCUUCCACAAACGGUUCGCCAUCCCGAGUCCUCUUCUUCGCUUUCAAUCACAGUACAAUAAGCACGUGGAACGAUGAAAAUUUUGCAAAGUGAUCGAUGAUAAUAGACUGUAUAGUGCAAAGUUCUGCGCGUCGAUAAGCGUUCAACACGAUAACAGUAUUAUUUCAUCAAUACGAAAUUCAAUAAAAAUAUUUUUCGAUUAUGCGAUGACAAUGAUCAGAGUACAGUUGAGAAAGACAACGAGUCAUUUCAACAAGAAUAUCUUUUGUUUAUGUACAUAAAUGUGGAAUACAUGUGUUUCUGAUUAACAUCAAUAAUGUUAGUAUCACAGAUAUAUGGAAGAUCAAGACACCAGGAAAAAUACAGACUGUAUGUCUUUAACAGUUAUUCAAAAUUAUUAGAGCGACGACAAAUUACCAGCAAAUAUUCAAAUUUUUGUUUCGAUAAAUUUACCUUUUAACAAAUGUUUGUAAAUGAACAGUUACUGAAUAUUGAAUUAACAUCGAGUUACAAUAAGACACGAAUUUUCUCUUCUUGGAAGAUGAAUUAUUUUAACAAACAAUUUGCAGCUACUGUAUGAACAACUUCAAAACUACUAGAAGCAAAAAUGACUUUUCCUUUCGAGACAACUUCUACUGGGUAUUACUGGAUAGAAAGGUCAACAGAAUUUCUUGUAAUUGCAACACAGACUGCAACAUUUUUACCCAUUAAUACCUGUCACCAUAAAUAAGCGAGCGUGUCUCAAAAUUCUCAAACAAGAAUUUGCUUGAUUUGCAAAUUUACAUUAACAAUAAUGUUUUUUCACGCGGACGCACAACGAAUCGUGAAAUUUCAGGUCAUUUUUUGUGAAAAUCUAUUUAAAAUGCGUUACUGCAUCACAGGGGAUGCGUUAACACGCAAAUCUUUUUAUUAGCAUAAUUUUGAGCGGCUCGGAUGAAUGCUGCUAAUCAACUACGACUGGUUGGGUACCGAGAAUUCCGUAUUAAACCAGUCACCAAGAUUUCCCGAUUAAUCUUUUUUCGGAAAGGUUUUGGAAUAUUCCAAACCGGGGCUUAAUAUAAAAAAAUAUAGGUCAUAGUUUUGCAAAUUUUAAACCACACCGGUGUCACAGAUGAUUAAAACAAAGUACUGUGAAUCAAGACACGUGGAUAUCUAUACAAUUCGUAUUUUUUUUACAGUAUUAUCUGAACAAGUAUCAUCAAGGUUCCUCGAUCAUUCACCUUCUUAGCGAAUCACCUUGAUCCCUUUAAGAAUGAUCGUGAUCGGUGAUUUAAAGAAACAGGGAACACCGGUGCGGUUACGUAUUUACAGUUCUACGUGGAACGCAUCUCAAUAGAAUUCUACGAUAAUUACGGUAAUUACAGGAAUAUCCUGUAAUUACACACUUAACGACACGCUCGCUGGUAGAUGAUCAAAAUGAAAAGGAAUAUGCGUCUAGCUGAUUCUGCUAUCUUGGUCGUCGCUCUUCCUGGCAAGAAAUUCUUUUAUCGAAAUUGCAAAUAGUCGGAGGAAGAAAGUGAAAUCGUCUUUCUCAAUGUUUGUUCCUGUAACAUCCACGUGUGUAUUUGACCAGGUAAUCUCGUAUCUGAAGAAUAAAUUAAAUGUCAGGAUAGUGAUACUACUGAAAAUUAAUUGUAAUUAUUCUAAUUUGUUACCUUGGGAAGUAAGUACGGUUUUAAUAUACUACUUGAAAAUUUUCUUGAAUUUCCUGGUACCAAUUACCAGUGACCUUUAUAACUUUCAAGAAUUGUAAAACCUUUCGUUUGUGCGACUCGGCUGAAAUUUUCGGAUGCCGUGUGACAUUGGAGCAAAGGGGAGCCAAACAAAACGUAUAUAUCGUCGGUGUUGGACAACGUGACAAGGUUACAGGCCAAUUAAGGCGAGGCACCGUGAUACUGUGUCCCCAUUGCAUGAUCCCCUCGAAUGACACCUCAAUAUAAUCUUCAUAUUUUAUUUACGAUAUGUACGUGGGCCAAUUGCGGGUUUCACCAAUCCCCAAAAUUGAUGUCACUUCCUUCCAGCAACGAUUAAUCAUUUUUUUGCAACGUGUUAGGGAUGAGGGAUGAAUUUUUGGGUAGACUAUUAAAUCAAUAUGUGCAAGUAUUUUAGAAUGGCAAUGAGUAAAUUAGUGGGCCACAUCUGACCUAGUAAAUACACAUGACCCCCAUAGGGCAGGUAUGUGUGGGAUUUGAAACCCAAUAAAGCGGAAGUGAAAAGAAGAGAAUAGCUAAGAUAAUAAAAAAUGUCUGUGUGUAAGAAUCCUAUCUAAGAAUGUAUAUCAUUUCUUUAGAACUCUCGAGUGACAGAUAUCCUACGUAACACUGAUUGAUCGAGUUUGCCCUAAGGAGAUACACAUGAAUAAAAUGAUAAUCUUCAGAGUGUAAAGUAGACCGAGUCAAUAGAAACGUCGUAUCUCGUCUUGAACAGAUAAACAGGUAGAUGUUGUGAAUUUUCGAACAGAAGAGGAAGAGAGAUUUGAGGUCAAAGGAAAGUCCGAAUUAACGGGUUUCGGAUUAACUUCGUGAAAUCGGCACGAAGACGUCGUUGUUUGGGAUAUGGCAACGAGAUAGAAUCUUUGAUUCGAUUUUUGAAUUUAGAUGAAAAUUAUUGGAGUUGAACUGAAAUCUGGAUUAACGAGUUCCAAUCGUGUGUACCGUCUCUCCAUGUUACCAUUGCUCGACGAACCGUUUCCGUUAAACGUCUCUAUGAAAUAUUAGACUGUUCCAGAAGUCUGUAGUAAAUAUUUCUAUUAAGGAAGUAAUAUUAAUAUUAGCAAUAUUAAUUAAGGGACCGAUGGGGUUCAUCUUAAUGUUAGCCAUUCUCUAAGUCUUAUUAUCAUAACUUAAGAGAGGAAACAAAAUAAGAACCCAUUCGUUUUUUGGGAGGCCGAUCCUUGAGGACCGGCGGGGUCCGAACGGAAAGUCUAACGUGGCGUUUAACGUGUUAAUCCUCCCUCAACAAAUGUAACAGGAGAUUGCUCUCAAACGACCAAACGAUAAAAGUGUAAUAUUUAAAUAACAACAGAAUCGAUUAGCAGGUGUGCGUUGAUAGAUCGAUCAGGUAUAAAUUGAUCUGAACAACAAUUUUGUCCUUCAUAGUGCGGAACAUACAUAAUGUAUACUGCGAUCCUUGAAAUUGUAACGUGUCUGACAACAUUCGUGUUUCAAAGCAGGAACAAGAAUAUUUUCACUUUUGUGACGGUCGAUACACUAAAACAAAAAGAGAGAAAGAGAAGUAUGAAAAUAGAGGUACAAGUGAUUGUAAACAUGAAAAACGACCGUAAUUCACGGCUCGGGUAACUGGUGUCAUAAUAAACGAGGGAGAUCCACUUUUUCCGCGAACAACCGACAAUCGUGUGACAUUAAGGAAAAGUGGCUAUGCGAUGUCGCAAUACUGAUUCUUGAAGAAAAACGCCUUUUUUAAGAUACACUUAUCCUUAGCCGGAGUAUCGAAUGUUACGCGUGCAACCACUCCGAUUGCUACGAGGAUUGAAAGCGCUAACGAAAGAGAAAGGAAUUCUUUCGCUCUUCGUGCGGUAUAAUUAAAAUGGAAAAAGAAAAUCACGAAUGGAUUUGAAGAGCGUCACGCUUGAACUUUAAAUAUUUCAUUGAAAUAUGCAAAUGUAAUCAAAAUUAAUUAUACCUUAAGUAAUUGAAUUUAAUUUUCUGUUAAUAUUACACCUAAUGUGGGUCAACUUCGUAUCGUUAUUUCCUUUUUUCUAUGCUAGUUAAGUUUGACCACCUUUGCAUAUCUUACAUAGGACCAUAUUCUUUGUGAAAUAUUGUUUUGUAUCAGGAAUUAUUGUAUCAUGAAACUUGUAUCUGUGGACACUGCAUGUCACAGAUAAUCUCAAAAUUCCUCAGUAUCGUUUUUUUCUUUUACAUAAAACGGUGAGCGUGAGAUUAAAAUUUGAAUGACAAUCUAAAAAAAAAAAAAAAAAAAAAUUUGUAA